AUUGAACGCUGGCGGCAGGCCUAACACAUGCAAGUCGAACGGUAGCACAGAGAGCUUGCUCUCGGGUGACGAGUGGCGGACGGGUGAGUAAUGUCUGGGAAACUGCCCGAUGGAGGGGGAUAACUACUGGAAACGGUAGCUAAUACCGCAUAACGUCACAAGACCAAAGUGGGGGACCUUCGGGCCUCACACCAUCGGAUGUGCCCAGAUGGGAUUAGCUAGUAGGUGGGGUAAUGGCUCACCUAGGCGACGAUCCCUAGCUGGUCUGAGAGGAUGACCAGCCACACUGGAACUGAGACACGGUCCAGACUCCUACGGGAGGCAGCAGUGGGGAAUAUUGCACAAUGGGCGCAAGCCUGAUGCAGCCAUGCCGCGUGUAUGAAGAAGGCCUUCGGGUUGUAAAGUACUUUCAGCGGGGAGGAAGGCGGUGAAGUUAAUAGCUUCACCGAUUGACGUUACCCGCAGAAGAAGCACCGGCUAACUCCGUGCCAGCCGCCGCAGUAA
rnacentral:rRNA from 1 species